AAAAGAGUCAGAAAAAUAGAUUUAGAUACAUUUAUUUCGAAAGUUUCAAUAUAUUUCUAAUAAAAUACUAUCUUAAAAGUAGACAACCUGGUUUUGUCUAAACAAAUAACAAAGAAGUGAAUUGCAUUGUAAAAAAAAGGAGUGUCGUUUGUUGCAGGGGAAAACUGCUAAAGAAAGCAAAACAAAACGGAAUGCGAGAAAAAUAAAUGGAAGACAAACAAAAAUAAAGGGUAUGAGGUGUGCACAUUAAAAUCCACAUUGAAGCUUAUUCGAUGACUAACUCGAAGACGCUGCCAUUUGCGCUGAUAUAAUAUUCAGCACGGCUCGUAUGUUUGGCGUACUUGCUUGACUGACUACCGGCCUGCGCUUGAUGGCAAAGCAAACAUAAAUAUGUGCACAGUUACUGACGAAUAACUAUAAACUACUAUAGGAGUUGACUAUUCAUGGAAAACUGUUACGCAGCUCCAUCACAG